rnacentral:rRNA from 1 species
AGAGUUUGAUCCUGGCUCAGGACGAACGCUGGCGGCGUGCUUAACACAUGCAAGUCGAACGGGAAGAGAUAAAGAGCUUGCUCUUUAUCAAAUCCAGUGGCAAACGGGUGAGUAACACGUAAACAACCUGCCUUCAGGAUGGGGACAACAGACGGAAACGACUGCUAAUACCGAAUACGUUCCACGGGCCGCAUGACCUGUGGAAGAAAGGGUGGCCUCUACCUGUAAGCUAUCGCCUGAAGAGGGGUUUGCGUCUGAUUAGGCAGUUGGUGGGGUAACGGCCCACCAAACCAACGAUCAGUAGCCGGUCUGAGAGGAUGAACGGCCACACUGGAACUGAGACACGGUCCAGACUCCUACGGGAGGCAGCAGUGGGGAAUAUUGCACAAUGGGCGCAAGCCUGAUGCAGCCAUGCCGCGUGUAUGAAGAAGGCCUUCGGGUUGUAAAGUACUUUCAGCGGGGAGGAAGGGAGUAAAGUUAAUACCUUUGCUCAUUGACGUUACCCGCAGAAGAAGCACCGGCUAACUCCGUGCCAGCAGCCGCGGUAAUACGGAGGGUGCAAGCGUUAAUCGGAAUUACUGGGCGUAAAGCGCACGCAGGCGGUUUGUUAAGUCAGAUGUGAAAUCCCCGGGCUCAACCUGGGAACUGCAUCUGAUACUGGCAAGCUUGAGUCUCGUAGAGGGGGGUAGAAUUCCAGGUGUAGCGGUGAAAUGCGUAGAGAUCUGGAGGAAUACCGGUGGCGAAGGCGGCCCCCUGGACGAAGACUGACGCUCAGGUGCGAAAGCGUGGGGAGCAAACAGGAUUAGAUACCCUGGUAGUCCACGCCGUAAACGAUGUCGACUUGGAGGUUGUGCCCUUGAGGCGUGGCUUCCGGAGCUAACGCGUUAAGUCGACCGCCUGGGGAGUACGGCCGCAAGGUUAAAACUCAAAUGAAUUGACGGGGGCCCGCACAAGCGGUGGAGCAUGUGGUUUAAUUCGAUGCAACGCGAAGAACCUUACCUGGUCUUGACAUCCACAGAACUUUCCAGAGAUGGAUUGGUGCCUUCGGGAACUGUGAGACAGGUGCUGCAUGGCUGUCGUCAGCUCGUGUUGUGAAAUGUUGGGUUAAGUCCCGCAACGAGCGCAACCCUUAUCCUUUGUUGCCAGCGGUCCGGCCGGGAACUCAAAGGAGACUGCCAGUGAUAAACUGGAGGAAGGUGGGGAUGACGUCAAGUCAUCAUGGCCCUUACGACCAGGGCUACACACGUGCUACAAUGGCGCAUACAAAGAGAAGCGACCUCGCGAGAGCAAGCGGACCUCAUAAAGUGCGUCGUAGUCCGGAUUGGAGUCUGCAACUCGACUCCAUGAAGUCGGAAUCGCUAGUAAUCGUGGAUCAGAAUGCCACGGUGAAUACGUUCCCGGGCCUUGUACACACCGCCCGUCACACCAUGGGAGUGGGUUGCAAAAGAAGUAGGUAGCUUAACCUUCGGGAGGGCGCUUACCACUUUGUGAUUCAUGACUGGGGUGAAGUCGUAACAAGGUAACCGUAGGGGAACCUGCGGUUG